rnacentral:rRNA from 1 species
CCCUUAGAUGUUCUGGGCCGCACGCGCGCUACACUGAUGAAUGCAACGAGCUCUACCCUUGACCGAAAGGCCUGGGUAAACUUGUGAAACUUCAUCGUGAUGGGGAUAGAUUAUUGCAAUUAUUAAUCUUCAACGAGGAAUUCCUAGUAAGCGCGAGUCAUCAGCUCGCGUUGAUUACGUCCCUGCCCUUUGUACACACCGCCCGUCGCUCCUACCGAUUGAAUGGUCCGGUGAAAUCUUCGGAUUGCUGACCAAGAUCCAGCAAUGGAGCUUGGUUGCGAGAAGUUGAUUAAACCUUAUUAUUUAGAGGAAGGAGAAGUCGUAACA